rnacentral:rRNA from 1 species
UUGACCUCGGAUCAGGUAGGGAUACCCGCUGAACUUAAGCAUAUCAAUAAGCGGAGGAAAAGAAACCAACAGGGAUUGCCUCAGUAACGGCGAGUGAAGCGGCAAGAGCUCAAAUUUGAAAGCUGGCCCCCUCGGGGUCCGCGUUGUAAUUUGCAGAGGAUGCUUCGGGUGCAAGCCCCCGUCUAAGUGCCCUGGA